UCAAUAUAAGUUGAUUAAUAUUUAUUUAUUAAUUUUUUUUAUUAGUUGUUUAAUUUAUUAAAAAUAAUUAUAAUAUUUAUGGUUUUAGUAUUUUUUAAAGAAAUAAUAAUUUUAUGAUAGUGUAUUAGUACUGUGAAGGAAUAUUGAAAUAAAUUGAAAAAUUUUUGUUUUUAAAGAAUAUUUUAUUUAUAGUACCUUGUGUAUCAGGGUUGAUUAAGUAAAAAAUAAAUAUUUAUUUUUCUCGAUUUUGAAAGAGUUAAUAAUUUAUUAAAGUUAAUGUAACAAAAUUAUUUUUUAUAAGUUAUUAGAAAUGAAAUGUUAUUCGUUUUCUAAGGUAUCUAGUUUCUUAAGAAAUAGAUUUAACCUAUUAAUUUAGAUUUAUUUAGUUUUUUUGUAAUUAAAUAAUUUUUGUUAAAAAUAUUUUAAGGGAUAAGCUUUAAAAUAAAAGAUUAAAAAUUUAUAAAUAGUAUUGAAAUUUAUAUGCUUAGAAUUAGCAAUUAUUGAUAAAUUUGUUAUAAUUUAUUUCAUUUUAUAGAUUAUUUAUUUUUAUUUUAAUUUUUUAUUAAGAUUUAUACUUUAAUUUUAAAAGUAUUGUAAUAAUGAUUAAAUUAGUAUAUAAUGCUGUAUAUUUAAAUAUUUUGUAAAGUUAUUUUAAAGAACUCGGCAAAAUUUAUGUCCGCCUGUUUAACAAAAACAUGUCUUUUAGAGUUAUUUUUAAAGUCUGGCCUGCCCACUGAAUAAUUUAAAUGGCCGCAGUAUUUUGACUGUGCAAAGGUAGCAUAAUCAUUAGUCUUUUAAUUGAAGGCUGGUAUGAAUGGUUGGACGAGAUAUAAACUGUUUCAAUUUUAUUUAGAUUAGAAUUUUAUUUUUUAGUUAAAAAGCUAAAAUUAAUUUAAAAGACGAGAAGACCCUAUAAAUCUUUAUAAUAGGUUAUUUUUAUUAUAAAGAUGUAUUUUAUAUUAAUAAUUUUAAUUAUUUUAUUGGGGUGAUAUUAAAAUUUAUAAAACUUUUAAUUUUUUAUCCCACUAAUUAGUGUAUAGCUGAUCCGUUAUUAGCGAUUAUAAGAUUAAGUUACUUUAGGGAUAACAGCGUAAUUUUUUUGGAGAGUUCAUAUCGAUAAAAAAGAUUGCGACCUCGAUGUUGGAUUAAGAUAUAAUUCUGGGUGCAGCCAUUCAGAUUUUAAGUCUGUUCGACUUUU
rnacentral:rRNA from 1 species